rnacentral:lncRNA from 1 species
CAUUAAUAGUAAUACAGAUAACGGGUUUCAAAGAAUUCUCUACAGAAGAAGGAUUGGAUUUUUCCAGGGUGCCGAUACUGAAAAGAAACCCGACUGCACUCUCUUCUUAUUUCCCACUCUUCUAUUUCUAAGUCCCAGACAGCUUUUGCUUGGUUGAACUCAGGAAGGUCUCUGUGCCCAGCAAAGUUGGAAGGCUGCGCCUGCACCAAGAAGCCUCUAGAUUGCUGAAAAGAGCCUCAUCAAAGGAUAAAACAUAUCCGUAUCACUGGCUGGGUGUAAUGCAAGGAAGGGACAAAGAUGAAAUGGAAACAUGCUCCUUUUUUGGUCAUAAUAUCACUCCUCAGCUUGUCCAAAAGCCACCUGUUCCUGGCACAGCUUAUUCCAGGUAAGUGCCACGCAUUUGUUUCAUCAAACCUCAAUCCGUAUUCCUUUUUUGUUUUAAUUUUUUUUUUUUUACUUUGUGUAUUGCAAAUCAGAUUUGUUCAUUUUCUUGGAAACUUGUAAGUCUGUGUGAAUGGUUUCUUAAGUUUGUGUGCUGAUAAAUUUCAGGGAUCAAAUAUGAUUCUUGAAUACAGAGCACCUUAUCAAUUCCCUAGAGAAGCUGAGGAAAUUCAGAAAAAUUCACUGUUACUGAAAUGUGUAAGAAGUUAUUAACUGAAUUUAAGACGGGUGGAAGAACAAUUAUAGUAAGGAAGGAAUGUGUAACACAAAAAGGCUAUCAAAGUCAUAAUGCAUGUUAGUACCAUGGAAAAGGAACAUCACAGACAGUAAAAAUGUUUGAAACUGAAAUUCCUUUGGGUGGUGACAUUCGAGUUCAUCAGCUGAACAAUGUCAGAAUAAAAAUGCAAACUGCUACCCUGUUGCUACCGUAGUUACAUAGUUACUGCUGGUUCAAUGAUAUUAGAAACCUGGUUCCUUGGAGUCAUAAUUUCAUUAAUAGUACUGUACAAAGAUUUACUUAAAGUGUUUUUAAAAUAGGAAAUUGACUAACGCCCAUGCUAUGGUAGAAGAAAAUAGAAAAAUAUAAUAAUAUACAUAUUAAAAUAUAAUUUCAACUUUCUUAGAGAAAACUAUGGGGAAAAUGGUAGUUAACUUGGGCAUAUUUAAUAUAUCAUCAUAAUUUAACCAAGUUGCUCAUAAAAGAAUGGCAUUUGGUGUUUUGUUAAACCAAAACAUGGAACUUGAUUUUUUUUGUUUAUUUUAGUCAUAUUUAUUUUAAUAACCAGCAACUGUAUGUAACUUAUCCUGUGUAUCCACAUACGAGUCAGGAUUUUCCAGUAAUUCUGGGGCUUGAUUUUUUUUUCUCCUGCUGGGCUAAGAUUGAUAUUUAAUUAGAAGAUAAGGGAGUUGUGAACAAAAAAUGAUUUUUAUCUAUUAAAAUCAUUUCCAUAUAGUGGAAGUAAGCAGAAAAUUUAAAAUCUAUUGUAGCAAAGUCCAUCUAGCUCCUUUGUUUUUUGAAAUUACUCCUUUGAAAUUACUAUAAGUUUUAAAUUUUAACCUGUCCCUACGUUCCCCUUCUCUUGCCACUACACUGGUGAGUGUUGAUUAAAAUUAAUGAAUGAACUCAGUAUCAAAAAAUCACAAUACGAAAAAAUGCUAUGCAUUUUUUAAGUAUAUGAAAAAUGCGGAGUUCCCGUUGUGGUUCAGUGGUUAAUGAAUCUGACUAGGAACCAUGAGGUUGCAGGUUCAAUCCCUGGCCUUGCUCAGUGGGUUAAGGAUCCCGCGAGUUGCCCUGAGCUGUGGUGUAGGUUGCAGACAUGGCUCGGAUCCCACGUUGCUGUGGCCCUGGCGUAGGCCUGCGGCUGCAGUUCUUACUAAACCCCUAGCCUGGGAACCUCCAUAUGCCAUGAGUGUGGCCCUAGAACCCCGCCCCCCAAAAAAAGAAAAAUGCAAGCCUUUCAAAUCAUCAGGAUUAAAGAGGUUAUAUGAAAGUGUUCUGUAGACUAUGAUUAUAGAUUUAGAUGUGGGUAUAACUCAGAUGUAAUUGUCCUUAAACUGUCUUGCCAGCUAAUAACUGCUUCAGUCAACAAAUUUAGUCCAUGAUCUAAUUAUUGAGCAGGUAAUCAAAUCUCAAAAGGUUCAGUCAUGGUUUGAAUCAUACUUACCUCUCUAGAUAUAUGGAAGAAGGAAUGCAUGCAUAAAGUAUGUGGAAGGGGGAGUAAGGUUCAUCUAUGGCAUAUAAGGUUAUUUUUUCAUUCAAGAAGAUACUGCAUGAUUACAUAGAAGACAUAUCAACUGGACCAUCUGGUUUCAAAAUUUGUCAAAACUCUGCAAUUGCUGUUUACAUGCAAGUACUUUAAGAUGAAGGAGAGCUUAAAAUUCAUGCAUUGAUUUUUCCAUACAAUAUGUAGAUUGGAUACAAAGGUGAUCAAUUGAUUGGCAAAUAGCCAAAGCAUGUCAUACAGAUUAGUAACUCAGGGCCCUCUUUGAGGCAAUACCUUACAAAGAAGUAAGGGUACCCCAAAAUGGAAUUUAUAAAGCUUUGUGCCUUUCCUGUUCAGGACCUCAGCAUUCAAGAAUUAUUUCAAAGCAAUUUACCUGUCACAAGAAAGAUGAUGUUGCAUUUUCAAAAGGAACGCUUACAGAGUAGAAGUCAUUUUCAUAACUGCCUCAUUCACAAGCACUGAUUUCAGGUUAAGGAGAUUAGAAAACCUCCUGAAAGGGAUCAUCAGCCUAGAACCUCUCCUCUUUCACACUGACCUCAGGAUGAAGUGAGAUCCUGAUUCUGCUGUUGUUGCUCCAUCUUUAUUAUGUUCAGUAGAGGCCCUUGACCUGCACUGAGUGUAGCCUAGCUCAGAGGGAGCAAGGAUAGGGAGAUCUUAUAUUAGUGACUUUUUCCAAAACACUGUUUCUCAUUCAGCUGAUUUACCUCCUCUCUUUCUCUGAGGAAAAAAAUACCCUUCUUUAUCAGAAAUUUAUUUCAAAAGUCAGAUAAGUUAAAAAAAAAAAGUACAAUGUUUUCUAAAAUCUAAGGAGAAGAAUAUGGUCUAUAGAACGUAACUAGGUGAGUUAUUAGUAGAAUGCCUACCAGAACAAGAUACCUCAGGCUAACAAGUAAAGCGCAAUGAAAAUAACUAUUGUAAUGUAGAUUAUUUUAUUACUGCAAUAAUAAAGAAGAUUUUCAAACUGUGAGGUGGUUACUUGGUAUAAUUAAAUGCUAAACCAAUGCUUGAAUUGACAGAUCACGCAGCUUAAUUUUUUUUCUAUUUUGUCCCCCUGUAUAAUACAUUUUCAAAAUGCUGUUAUGUUAUACAAUUACUGUAUAUGAAGUGGUUGGUAUAUCAGAUGACUAGAAAUUAGAUGUACAUUUUAAAUAAAGAAAUAACUCUUGAUGCUGAAAAGGAAAUCCAUUUUCAGAGAGAAGGAAUCAUUAAGAAGUGGAUUUUAGGAAUGAUUGAGCCUCUCCAACUGUUUGAGUUGUGGCCUUCAUCCCACAGAAAGCCCAUUAAAGGCUCUGUAUUCAAACCACUGUUACGUGCUCCCUUUGUCAAUUUUCCUCAUCUCUUAUUCACAUAUAAAAUACUCUCAAACCAACAGCAGUUAUCUCUUGAGACAUGCUCUAUCUGGGCGAGGCUACAUCUUUCUUUAACCUCUCCUACAAAGGAAUCUUACAGCCCUGGUCACAUUUUAAAUAUCCAUCUCUGAUUGCAACAGAUGUCAGGAAGACAAUAAAAGACACAUGUUAAACGAUAUGUUUUUAAAGUAUUCGCUUCGCAUAUGGGCGAUUGAGUUGAAAAUUUGAAGGACGUCGAUGGCAAAAAAAAAAAAAAUGUUGAAUUCUAGGGGUAUAGUGUAAGAUUUUAAAUGGAAACAUGUGGGGAUGGGAAAACACAUCCCCUUUCUAUCUAAAUAAAUCGAACAGCCCACUUUAAAGUUAAACGUGAUUUAUUUUUCCCUCUCUCUUCUCUAAAUGUGCAGCAGCAUUGUCCUUCAUUAGAGAUGCAGGUGCUGACAGGGUUAUUUCCUUUGCCCUGCCUCAUGUCAACAAGCCUUGAGAGUGAAAUUGUCUGAAAUGAUUUACUCCUUACCCUCCCCACCCCGUCCAUCCACCACCACUUCAGUACCUUGCUGCUUUCUCCAAAGAGAGGUAAUUGCAAGCAGCUAAGUGUUAUCUGGGUUGAAUCAUCCACAGAUAAACUAUAAAGUUUAAUAAAAGAAUUCUUUACAUAAGAUCUAGAAAUGAUAGGAAGUAUCUACAUACAAUCCCAUAUAUUCCAAAUUUUUGUGAUUUGUUUUAUUUUUACAUGCCUAACAUAUUUUGAAUAGAUUUGAGGAAUUCUUUCAGAUUUUUAAAAUUGCUAUAGAAU